rnacentral:rRNA from 1 species
UAGCUACAGGCUUAACACAUGCAAGUCGAGGGGCAGCAUGGUCUUAGCUUGCUAAGGCCGAUGGCGACCGGCGCACGGGUGAGUAACACGUAUCCAACCUGCCGUCUACUCUUGGACAGCCUUCUGAAAGGAAGAUUAAUACAAGAUGGCAUCAUGAGUCCGCAUGUUCACAUGAUUAAAGGUAUUCCGGUAGACGAUGGGGAUGCGUUCCAUUAGAUAGUAGGCGGGGUAACGGCCCACCUAGUCUUCGAUGGAUAGGGGUUCUGAGAGGAAGGUCCCCCACAUUGGAACUGAGACACGGUCCAAACUCCUACGGGAGGCAGCAGUGAGGAAUAUUGGUCAAUGGGCGAGAGCCUGAACCAGCCAAGUAGCGUGAAGGAUGACUGCCCUAUGGGUUGUAAACUUCUUUUAUAAAGGAAUAAAGUCGGGUAUGGAUACCCGUUUGCAUGUACUUUAUGAAUAAGGAUCGGCUAACUCCGUGCCAGCAGCCGCGGUAAUACGGAGGAUCCGAGCGUUAUCCGGAUUUAUUGGGUUUAAAGGGAGCGUAGAUGGAUAUUUAAGUCAGUUGUGAAAGUUUGCGGCUCAACCGUAAAAUUGCAGUUGAUACUGGAUAUCUUGAGUGCAGUUGAGGCAGGCGGAAUUCGUGGUGUAGCGGUGAAAUGCUUAGAUAUCACGAAGAACUCCGAUUGCGAA